ACAGAAACGCCGCUUGGCCUUUGGACUACACCAUCUGUCGCUCGCUCUAACGAGCCGGCGUUGCCGCCAGGGGACGCUCGGGCCGCAGGAGGUCGCUGGGUCGUGAGCUGGCGCCGGGGACGCCGAGCGACUGCGGGGUUUCCCUCAGCGUCCUGCUAUCCGGCUGCCCGCCGCGCUCCUUGGUAGUGUCCGUGGGCGCGCAGGCCUUGAAGAACCUCCUCGUGGCGGGACCCCGAGCGCAGGAGAGGUGUCAAAGAGCUGGCGCGUCUCCAGAGCCCCGGGAGGAAGGCUGUAACGGCAGCCCCAUCGUAGACAGGGACAUUCGCAUCCCGAGCCCUGGAUCUCUGAAAACCAGCCCAGAAUUUGGAAGCUGGAAGGAACUUUAGAUCGUCCAUUCUGAGUGUCUCUCUUCGCUGGCGUUUUCCCACUGAGGUUAUGUAAACAUGAAGAGGAGCCUACAAGUGUCAAGGAAAAAACGACAGCUAACCACAGGGCAGGCCAUGGGCAAGAUAUCUCAGUGUUCUCCGCUCUCAUAGGUCAGGUCACGACCCCCAGGAGACCUGGAGGACUGAAUGCUGCUGCCCCCAAGGAGGAGGCUGCCGUCUUAUCCCAGGAGGGAGAGCAGAACCUGCCUGAUCUCACUGCUGGAUCCCUCUUCUUCCUGCCAGGAAAAUAAAAAGGUUCAAAAGGAAGUUGCUGCGUAUCCAUCUGAGGCCUCUGAGGACAGCAAAGAGCAAAGGCCCUGGGACCGGGUCUACGUGCCCAUGACAGAGCUCUGGCUGGACUGGUUCUGAGC
rnacentral:lncRNA from 10 species